GUGCCAGCAGCCGCGGUAAUACCGGCAGCACAAGUGAUGGCCGAUCUUAUUGGGCCUAAAGCGUCCGUCGCUGGCCGCGCAAGUCCAUCGGAAAAUCCACCCGCCCAACGGGUGGGCGUCCGGUAGAAACUGGCCGGCUUGGAACCGGAAGGCUCAGAGAGUACGUCCGGGGUAGGAGCGAAAUCCCGUAAUCCCGGACGGACUACCGAUGGCGAAAGCACUCUGAGAAGACGGCUUCGACAGUGAGGGACGAAAGCUCGGGUCUCAAACCGGAUUAGAUACCCGUGUAGUCC
rnacentral:rRNA from 1 species